rnacentral:rRNA from 1 species
UACGUAGGGGGCGAGCGUUGUCCGGAUUUAUUGGGCGUAAAGAGCUCGUAGGCGGUUUGGUAAGUUGGAUGUGAAAUCUCCAGGCUCAACUUGGAGGGGUCAUUCGAUACUGCCAUGACUAGAGUUCGGUAGGGGAGUGUGGAAUUCCUGGUGGAGCGGUGAAAUGCGCAGAUAUCAGGAGGAACACCCGUAGCGAAGGCGGCAUUCUGGGUCGGAACUGACGCUGAGGAGCGAAAGCGUGGGGAGCGAACAGG